CUUGCUUCUCUGCUGACGAGCGGCGGACGGGUGAGUAAUACUUGGGAAUUUGCCUUUAGGCGGGGGACAACCACUGGAAACGGUGGCUAAUACCGCAUAAUGUCUACGGACCAAAGUGGGGGACCUUCGGGCCUCACACCUAAAAUGAGCCCAAGCGGGAUUAGCUAGUUGGUGAGGUAAAGGCUCACCGAGGCGACCAUCCCUAGCUGUUCUGAGAGGAUGAUCAGCCGCACUGGGACUGAUACACGGCCCACACUCCUACGGGAGGCAGCAGUGGGGAAUAUUGCACAAUGGGCGCAACCCUGAUGCAGCCAUGCCGCGUGUGUGAAGAAGGCCUUCGGGUUGUAAAGCACUUUCAGUGGUGAGGAAAGGGUGAUCGUUAAUGCUAUCACAGUUGACGUUAGCCACAGAAGAAGCACCGGCUAACUCCGUGCCAGCAGCCGCGGUAAUACGGAGGGUGCAAGCGUUAAUCGGAAUUACUGGGCGUAAGGCGUACGUAGGCGUGUGUGUUAAGCUAGAUGUGAAAGCCCCGGGCUCAACCUGGGAAUAGCAUUUAGAACUGGCACGCUAGAGUCCUGAAGAGGGUGGUAGAAUUUCCAGUGUAGCGGUGAAAUGC
rnacentral:rRNA from 1 species